rnacentral:rRNA from 1 species
UGAUAGGGCGCAGGUGAAAGAUCCGUAAGGAUUUGAGCCGAGCGUUACUAAUCGGUC